GGGGGGCGUAUCUCCAUCCUGAUCUGCUGCUGUGAAAAUGGCCUCUGUCAGCUGUAUGGAUAUCCACCUGCUCCAGAUGAGGGCGGGAGAGUCGGUGAUCGACUACUUGUCUCAAGUAGAGGACACUAAAGGGAACAAUGGACACAGAGGUAAACUGUUUGUGACCAACCUGCGAGUGAUUUGGACGUCAGCUGACUAUCAGAGAGUCAACCUUUCCAUUGGUUACCACACAGUGACCUCAGUGACUACAAAGAGAGUGAAUUCUAAACAAAGAGGGACAACUGAAGCGCUGUAUUUGAUGACUAAAGUUGACAAGACUCAGUUUGAAUUCAUCUUCACUAAUCUUGUCCCGGACAGCCCUCGCCUGUUCUCCACGGUGAUGUCAGUGUACACAGCGUACGAGACGUCCAAACCUUAUCGAGAGCUCAAGCUACGGAGUGCCCUACUGGGAGAGAGCAAAGAGUUGAAGCUACUGCCCAGAGAGCAGCUGUACACUAAGUUCCAGACAGCUGUUAGUGAUGUCCAAACCUUAUGAGAGCUCAAGCUAUGGUAUCCUACUGGGAGAGAGCAGUUGUACACUAAAAACAGAGAGGGCCAGGUCGACAACUGAAGCGUUGUUCCAGACAGCUGUUAGUGAUGUCCAAACCUUAUGAGAGCUCAAGCUAUGGUAUCCUACUGGGAGAGAGCAGUUGUACACUAAAAACAGAGAGGGCCAGGUCGACAACUGAAGCGUUGUAAAGUUGACAAGACUCAGUUUGAAUUCAUCUUCACGUAUUUAAACACACAGGUUCCAGACAGCUGUUAGUGAUGUCCAAACCUUAUGAGAGCUCAAGCUAUGGUAUCCUACUGGGAGAGAGCAGUUGUACACUAAAACUCUGGUGAUGAUGAGCAAUCUCUGCCAGUGCCUGAGAGUGUGACUGAUGAUAUUGAGGUGGUGGAGACCAAAGACAAGAUGGACACUUUUGAAAUAAAUAAUUGGCAACAAAAUUCUUUAGUCAGUGGAUCGUAAUCCUGUGUUUUCCCCUGAGCUGGGACUAGCCAUUGAGAAACUACCAGAGGGAUACUCUCUCCAAGACCUAGAUGGGACGUGACCUAGUUAAACAACUGUCUUAUCCAUCUUAUGCUAGACUUUCUGUUGCAUGCAUGUACUGUACUACAUCAAAUGAAAAUUUUCCCUGGUAG